UGAGAGUUUGAUCCUGGCUCAGGAUGAACGCUGGCGGUCUGCUUAACACAUGCAAGUCGAACGCAACCUUCGGGUUGAGUGGCGGACGGGUGAGUAACGCGUGAGAAUCUGCCUUGGGGUCGGGGACAACCACUGGAAACGGUGGCUAAUACCGGAUACGCCUUCGGGUAAAAGAUUUAUUGCCCUAAGAGGAGCUCGCGUCUGAUUAGCUAGUUGGUGAGGUAAGAGCUCACCAAGGCAGCGAUCAGUAGCUGGUCUGAGAGGACGAUCAGCCACACUGGGACUGAGACACGGCCCAGACUCCUACGGGAGGCAGCAGUGGGGAAUUUUCCGCAAUGGGCGAAAGCCUGACGGAGCAAGACCGCGUGAGGGAGGAAGGCUCUUGGGUUGUAAACCUCUUUUCUCAGGGAAGAAGCUCUGACGGUACCUGAGGAAUCAGCCUCGGCUAACUCCGUGCCAGCAGCCGCGGUAAUACGGAGGAGGCAAGCGUUAUCCGGAAUUAUUGGGCGUAAAGCGUCCGCAGGUGGCGAUUCAAGUCUGCUGUCAAAGCACGGGGCUUAACUCCGUAAAGGCAGUGGAAACUGAAUAGCUAGAGUGCCGUAGGGGUAGAGGGAAUUCCCGGUGUAGCGGUGAAAUGCGUAGAGAUCGGGAAGAACAUCGGUGGCGAAAGCGCUCUACUGGACGGCAACUGACACUCAGGGACGAAAGCUAGGGGAGCGAAUGGGAUUAGAUACCCCAGUAGUCCUAGCUGUAAACGAUGGAUACUAGGUGUAGCUUGUAUCGACCCGAGCUGUGCCGAAGCUAACGCGU
rnacentral:rRNA from 1 species